rnacentral:rRNA from 1 species
CAAGGGGAGUGGCAGACGGGUGAGUAACGCGUGGGAACAUACCCUUUCCUGCGGAAUAGCUCCGGGAAACUGGAAUUAAUACCGCAUACGCCCUACGGGGGAAAGAUUUAUCGGGGAAGGAUUGGCCCGCGUUGGAUUAGCUAGUUGGUGGGGUAAAGGCCUACCAAGGCGACGAUCCAUAGCUGGUCUGAGAGGAUGAUCAGCCACAUUGGGACUGAGACACGGCCCAAACUCCUACGGGAGGCAGCAGUGGGGAAUAUUGGACAAUGGGCGCAAGCCUGAUCCAGCCAUGCCGCGUGAGUGAUGAAGGCCUUAGGGUUGUAAAGCUCUUUCACCGGAGAAGAUAAUGACGGUAUCCGGAGAAGAAGCCCCGGCUAGCUUCGUGCCAGCAGCCGCGGUAAUACUCAGGGGGCUAGCGUUGUUCGGAAUUACUGGGCGUAAAGCGCACGUAGGCUGAUAUUUAAGUCAGGGGUG